UGCCCAAGAGAAAAUUCGCCUAACUUAACCUUCAUAUUUCCAAAAUUUGUUUAGCUAUUUUUAGGGAUUUUCCUCCAACUGAAAAUUUUACGAACAUGAAGAAAAAGGUUAAUGGAAGAAACAAAUCAGAGGACAGAGUUUGUGGAAAAUGGAGCAAGGAUAAUGAGAACAGAAGGAGAUUGAACCAGAGAGGGUGCCAUGGACAAUCCAUCCACUCAUUCUUUCUUUUUUUCUUUCUUCAACAAAUAUUUAUUGAGCCUCUAUUAAGCGCCAGGUAUUCUUCUAGGACUGGGAUAUGGCAGGGAACAAGAUGAAGCAUUUUCUUCCGUGGGGUUUAUAGUCUAGCGCAGGGGUUGCCCAACUUUUCCAUAAAGGUCCGGACAAUAAAUAUUUUAGGCUUUAUGGGCCACACAGCCUCUGUGACAACUACUUAACUCUGCCAUCAUAGGUGCCAAAGCUGUCAUAGAAAGACAAACAAAUGACCAUGGUUGUGUUCCAAUAAAAUUUUAUUUAUUAAAACAGAUGGCAAGACAAUUUGUCCUUUAAGCCAUGGCUUGCCAACCUCUGUUCUAAGUGGAAGGGGAAAGGAAAUGUCUAAGAUCGUUUCAGGACGUGAUAAUGCCUCGAAGAAAAGUAAAGCUGGUCGAGGCCAUAGAAGGAAAUGAGGUGAGGGAGCCGCUAUUUCAGAAUGUUUGAGGUCUUCCUAAUGAAACGAAGCAAAGGAGCGCGUGAAGUGAGGCUGUCAGAGAGGAUGGGAUCCGGCACACGGUGGAAGGCUUGACUCGAAACAAGAGCCUGGACAAUUACUCUCUUAUAAUAGGAAAGAAGGCAAAAUAUAACAUUACAGAGGCAGGGAGGUUUGUUGUAAGAAACGGAGGACUGAAAAAAUCUAUGAAGAACAAGAUAUAGCCAAUAUGACUCACGGCAGGUGAGAGGACACAGCUGGAGAAGAGCAAGUCCAGGCUUCCGCUUCCCUUGGGUGGCUGACUUCUAGAUCUGCAAUGCUUAAUCAUAAAAAAAAGGAAGCGAUGGUUGAGGACAUUAAAUGAGAAAUGUGUCUUCAAAGUACCUCGCCUGAAGAGCCAAGAUAAUUUACCAAGCCCGGAAAAGGGCAAGAGCACAUCAGGAUCACGAUGGACACAACAGAGCUCAGUCUUGAGAAACAAUCGCAGUCCACGUCACCUCACUCAACUUCUAUUCUGUGGCCAGAACAGCCUUCAUGACGUGAACGUUCACCUGUCUUUCCUCCUGGUUGCACUUUCAUAAUGGACUAUAAGAUGAAUUCUAAACACUUUUGCAAAGAAUAUAAGACUCUUCGGUAUUAGACACCUGCCUCCCCACUCAGAUUGAUCUUCCAAUGCUGUUCCCUUUGUCUGGACUAUCUGAGACUCCCACAAGUCCCACAGCUUCACUUGAAAUGCUCC
rnacentral:lncRNA from 1 species